CGGAGACAGGUGGUGCAUGGUUGUCGUCAGCUCGUGUCGUGAGAUGUUGGGUUAAGUCCCGCAACGAGCGCAACCCCUUAUACUCAGUAGCCAGCAGGUGAGGCUGGGCACUCUGAGGAGACUGCCAGGGAGAACCUGGAGGAAGGCGGGGAUGACGUCAAAUCAUCAUGCCCCUUAUGAUUUGGGCUACACACGUGCUACAAUGGCGUAAACAGAGGGAAGCGAAGGAGUGAUCCGGAGCGAAUCCGAGAAAUAACGUCUCAGUUCGGAUUGCAGUCUGCAACUCGACUGCAUGAAGCUGGAAUCGCUAGUAAUCGCGGAUCAGAAUGCCGCGGUGAAUACGUUCCCGGGUCUUGUACACACCGCCCGUCACACCAUGGGAGCCGUUAACGCCCGAAGUCAGUGGCCCAACCGAGAGGAGGGAGCUGCCGAAGGCGGGAAUGGUAACUGGGGUGAAGUCGUAACAAGG
rnacentral:rRNA from 1 species